rnacentral:rRNA from 1 species
AUUGAACGCUGGCGGCAUGCUUUACACAUGCAAGUCGAACGGCAGCACAGGGAGCUUGCUCCCGGGUGGCGAGUGGCGCACGGGUGAGUAAUACAUCGGAACGUGUCCUGUUGUGGGGGGAUAACUGCUCGAAAGGGUGGCUAAUACCGCAUGAGACCUGGAGGGUAGAAAGGCGGGGGAUCGCAAGACCUCGCGCAAUUGGAGCGGCCGAUCGCCCGAUUAGCUAGUUGGUGAGGUAAAGGCUCACCAAGGCGACGAUCGGUAGCUGGUCUGAGAGGACGACCAGCCACACUGGGACUGAGACACGGCCCAGACUCCUACGGGAGGCAGCAGGUGGGGUAAUUUUGGACAAUGGGGGCAACCCUGAUCCAGCCAUGCCGCGUGCAGGAUGAAGGCCUUCGGGUUGUAAACUUCUUUUGUCAGGGACGAGUAGAAGACGGUACCUGACGAAUAAGCCACGGCUAACUACGUG